AUGAACGCUGGCGGCGUGCCUAAUCCAUGCCAGUCGAGCGAACGGACGAGAAGCUUGCUUUUCUGAUGUUAGCGGCGGACGGGUGAGUAACACGUGGAUAACCUACCUAUAAGACUGGGAUAACUUCGGGAAACCGGAGCUAAUACCGGAUAUUAUUUUGAACCGCAUGGUUCAUAAGUGAAAGACGGUCUUGCUGUCACUUAUAGAUGGAUCCGCGCUGCAUUAGCUAGUUGGUAAGGUAACGGCUUACCAAGGCAACGAUGCAUAGCCGACCUGAGAGGGUGAUCGGCCACACUGGAACUGAGACACGGUCCAGACUCCUACGGGAGGCAGCAGUAGGGAAUCUUCCGCAAUGGGCGAAAGCCUGACGGAGCAACGCCGCGUGAGUGAUGAAGGUCUUCGGAUCGUAAAACUCUGUUAUUAGGGAAGAACAUAUGUGUAAGUAACUGUGCACAUCUUGACGGUACCUAAUCAGAAAGCCACGGCUAACUACGUG
rnacentral:rRNA from 1 species